rnacentral:lncRNA from 1 species
AAUUCAUGAGGACUCUGAUCCACAUUACCCUGUGUGUCAUUAAGGUCAGGAGGCUCGAGGCUUAAGUAAAAAUCAUCAAGGUACGCCUCUAAGGCUUCAGAGGCAGAGAAAUACGGCUUUUCUUUAAACAGGAUGGAGCCAUCGGCAUGAAAGUGGAUGCUGCUCAUGACCAAAACCGCUGGAGACCAGGUGCAGGAGGGGCAAACUGAUGCUUCUCAACAGACCGUGACACGGCUUUCUGAAAAUAAGCAGCAAUGACCAUUCGCCUUUCAGAAAACUCUAAAGACAAAGACAGGCGCGCAAGAUUUCAGUUAAGUCUGCAAAGGAGACAAUCAUGGGACACGGAGAUGGACGUAUCCAUAGCAACAGGGCUUGCCUCUCCUAAAAGACCUCAGACCUGCUCAUGAUCCAGCCACUGUCCAGCUCUGGAGGAGCCAGCCCAGACUAGAGUCAAUGUCAGUUUUGUCCAGUGCUCUUCAGCUUGGUAAAUAUCUUCAAUAUCAUCCCUGCUAAGACACGGUCUGCAAUAAGUGCUGAGCGCUCCCUUUCCUUGGCCUUCCAUUUUCUGAGUCAUUCUGAGUAUCUGCCAUGAGUUAACCUACAUGAUUGCUGGCUGCAUGACCCC